rnacentral:snoRNA from 1 species
GGGGCAACAGGGCCAUAGAUUUCCAAAGAGAAUGGGCAAUUUAUAGGUAGUUGAGAAAGAGCAGAACACACAGGGCAGGCAAAUUCUUGCUAGGCAUCCACACAAACAUCAUGCAGCCAAAGAGUAAGUUGGGAUCAUAGUACUGGUCUGGUGUUAUCUCAUUGGACAUAAUUUACCACUGGCCAGCCUCCAAAUUCCCACACAGAA